rnacentral:rRNA from 1 species
UGGGGAAUAUUGCACAAUGGGCGCAAGCCUGAUGCAGCCAUGCCGCGUGUAUGAAGAAGGCCUUCGGGUUGUAAAGUACUUUCAGCGAGGAGGAAGGCGUUGUGGUUAAUAACCGCAACGAUUGACGUUACUCGCAGAAGAAGCACCGGCUAACUCCGUGCCAGCAGCCGCGGUCAUACGGAGGGUGCAAGCGUUAAUCGGAAUUACUGGGCGUAAAGCGCACGCAGGCGGUCUGUCAAGUCGGAUGUGAAAUCCCCGGGCUCAACCUGGGAACUGCAUCCGAAACUGGCAGGCUAGAGUCUUGUAGAGGGGGGUAGAAUUCCAGGUGUAGCGGUGAAAUGCGUAGAGAUCUGGAGGAAUACCGGUGGAGAAGGCGGCCCCCUGGACAAAGACUGACGCUCAGGUGCGAAAGCGUGGGGAGCAAACA